GCCAUGGUACAACAGCUUGGCCAAGCAGCUCAGUUAGCAAAAUUUGACAUUAAGUCAGCUUUCAGGAUAAUUCCAGUACAUCCGGCGGACUUUGAACUACUGGGUAUCAAUUUCCAAGGCUUGUAUUAUUUUGACAAAUGUUUGCCCUUUGGUUGUGCAAAGUUUAGUUCCUUUCUACAGUGGUGUAUGCAGCAGGACCUCCCAAAUGGCCAGCUUAUGCACUAUUUGGACGAUUUUCUCACAGGGGGUAAGUCAGACACAGCUGAAUGUAACCAAAACCUGCAUAUUUGUCUCAACCGUUUGAGCCAAUUUGGUGUUCUGGUAGCUUCCGAAAAAACAGUGGAACCCACUACCUGCAUCAUGUUUCUAUGGCUAUGCAAAAUUGGCGCCGUUACCAUGGAGAUCAGGGGCUUGAUUGAAACAGGUAAAAAUAAGAUCACAAAGCACCAGUUGCAGUCACUGGUGGGUAAACUCAACUUUAUAUGCCGCGCUAUACCGAUGGGUCGUGCAUUCUGCCGCAGAUUUAUUGACCUCAUGUGCACUGUAAAAUCGCCGCAUCAUCGAAUCCGGAUUACACGGAUGUGGCUAACAUUCUUGUCGGGUUUCAAUGUUAUAUCAGUGUUUCAGGAAAGUGCAGCUAUACCGGCAGUGCAGGCUUUGGUGCAAAUUUUCAAGGACACUGGGUCUCGGGAAAGUGGCCCCAGCAUUGGGUUGAGGACGGUACCACUAGAGAUAUGACAUUACUGGAGUUAUUUCCAAUUGCGUUGUCUAUGCAAUUGUGGGGUAAGUCUCUGGCUAACAAAAAGUCUUAUUCAACUGUGAUAACCAAGCGGUAGUGUACAUUCUCAACAAACAAUCCUGUGAAGGGCCUAAGACGAUGUCAUUGGUCAGACAGCUUGUUCUGCUUUCCCUCAAAUUUAACAUUCUUUUCAAAGCUAAGUACCUGAGUACGCACGAUAACAUUAUUGCUGACGCAUUAUCGAGAUUUCAGUGGGACUGCUUUGUCAAGUAGCUCCAACUGCAGACCACCACCAGACACCGCUGCCAGACGACAUUUGGGGGAUUUAGAAGCUGAAGCCAUGCGACUGCUACAGCUGUCUUUUACAAGCAAUACUUGGUCAACUUACCAAACAGGUCUAACAGUAUUUCAGCACUUCCGGUCUACCCACGAUCUGAGGGAUGAAUGGCCAGUUCCGAUAAGUCACAUUGUUCAUUUCAUUGCUUCAAUGUCUGUGAGCCAAUGCUCUAUCAAUACCGUCAGAACCUAUAUUUCUUCAAUAGAUAUUUCAUUGCUUCAAUGUCUGUGAGCCAAUGCUCUAUCAAUACCGUCAGAACCUAUAUUUCUUCAAUAGCAACAUAUCAUAAAUUAAAUGGUCUUGUACACUGUUGCGACAAUUUCCUCAUCAACAAAGUUAUCUCUGGCAUGUUUAAGAAGCGUUCCCGCCAAGAUACUCGGAAACCGAUCAAAUCUGAUCUUCUUCAAUUAAUUAUCUCUAACUUGCGUUUUGUUUGUAAUUCCGCCUAUGAAUAUCGUCUUUUCUCAGCAGCGUAUUGCGCUGCCUUUUUCGGAUUUUUCAGAGUAGGUGAGCUGGUACAGGGCAGGUUAGGGCAGGGAAUCGCCAUUCAAGAUAUCUCUCAGCGAGUUGCUGACGUAAUAUUCAAACUCCGGCAUUCAAAAGCCGACAGAUCCGGAAAGGGCGUCUCUAUCUCUAUUGCCGCGCUACCCUCACACCCUCUCUGUCCAGUCAAGGCCAUGUCGGAUUAUCUGCAGAUACGUCCUCUCGGUCCUACACAGGCAUUUGUUCAUUUUAACCAUACACCUGUUACCAGAUAUCAAUUUCAAGCUGUCUUGAAAAAAGCUCUCGCUCAUGGUGGCGUUGAUACUUCAGAGUUCUCGUCACACUCUUUUCGGAUAGGCGCCGCUACAUCGGCAGCAGUAAAUGGCGUAUAUUUCAUAACAUAACCAUGUUUUCUUUUCCCACCCCUUAUUAACUAUUUUAUGUUGCAGUAUGGAUAGUAGGAUCAAGCUACAUUUCGAGGGCCGACCAGUUUGUUUCCCGGCAUCAUAUGCGCCCAACUGAUUGUUUGUGGCUGGGGAGAGGUGGCCGCAGAUGGGAGGAUCUUAACAAGGAGGUGGAGGCACAAAUGGCCACACGUAAACAUUCCAAAGCCAUAAUUAUCCACCUCGGGUACAACGACCUGGUCGCGACCAAAUCAAGUGCUCUGUACCUUGAAAUUUAUAUGUCCCUUCUCCGGAUACAGCUACUGAUGCCAUCAACCAAAAUCAUCUGGUCAAACAAAAUGCCGAGGAGGCACUGGAUGGGGCCACAUUCUUACUCGCCAUCGACAAGGCCAGGUCGACCCUCAACCGUCGUGUCGGUAACCGAGUUAGGGAGCUCGGAGGUAUUCAGAUUCACCACCCAGCCAUCUGGGCCAUAUAUAGUGAUAUGUACAUUUGGGAUGGCGUCCAUCUCUCCAAUAAAGAGCCAUGUGACUGUCGAAUGAGACGACUGGCGGAAGGCAUCUUACACUCUCGUGUCACACACAGGGAGUGUCUUCUUUAUGCCUUUGCUGAAUAAACUGAUAUUCUCACAACCCCGUGGACUGUAAUCACUUGGCAACUAAGGGUUACACAUAAGGUCUACAACAUUGGAGCCCCCAGUGAGGAUACAGCGGUGUUCCAGCGUCUCAACAGUGACCAACAUAGACUUGAUGAUGUGCUGCUAGGUAUA